GAUGAACGCUGGCGGCGUGCUUAACACAUGCAAGUCGAACGGAAAGGCCCAAGCUUGCUUGGGUACUCGAGUGGCGAACGGGUGAGUAACACGUGGGUGAUCUGCCCUGCACUUCGGGAUAAGCCUGGGAAACUGGGUCUAAUACCGGAUAGGACGAUGGUUUGGAUGCCAUUGUGGAAAGUUUUUUCGGUGUGGGAUGAGCUCGCGGCCUAUCAGCUUGUUGGUGGGGUAAUGGCCUACCAAGGCGUCGACGGGUAGCCGGCCUGCGAGGGUGUACGGCCACAGUGGGACUGAGAGACGGGCCAGACUGCGACGGGAGGCAGCAGUGGGGAAUAUUGCACAAUGGGAGCAAGCCUGAUGCAGCGAGGCCGCGGGGGGGAUGACGGCCUUCGGGUUGUAAACUCAUUUCGCUAGGGACGAAGCGUUUUUGUGACGGUACCUGGAGAAGAAGCACCGGCUAACUACGUG
rnacentral:rRNA from 1 species